UACGUAGGGGGCGAGCGUUGUCCGGAUUUAUUGGGCGUAAAAGAGCUCGUAGGCGGCUUGUUGCGUCGACCGUGAAAACCCCGUGGCUCAACUGCGGGCUUGCGGUCGAUACGGGCGGGCUAGAGUUCGGUAGGGGAGACUGGAAUUCCUGGUGUAGCGGUGAAAUGCGCAGAUAUCAGGAGGAACACCGGUGGCGAAGGCGGGGUCUCUGGGGCCGAUACUGACGCUGAGGAGCGAAAAGCGUGGGGGAGCGAACAGG
rnacentral:rRNA from 1 species